GAUGAACGCUGGCGGCGUGCCUAAUACAUGCAAGUCGAGCGAAUGGAUUAAGAGCUUGCUCUUAUGAAGUUAGCGGCGGACGGGUGAGUAACACGUGGGUAACCUGCCCAUAAGACUGGGAUAACUCCGGGAAACCGGGGCUAAUACCGGAUAACAUUUUGAACCGCAUGGUUCGAAAUUGAAAGGCGGCUGCGGCUGUCACUUAUGGAUGGACCCGCGUCGCAUUAGCGAGUUGGUGAGGUAACGGCUCACCAAGGCAACGAGGCGUAGCCGUACUGAGAGGGUGAUCGGCCACACUGGGACUGAGCAACGGCCCAGACUCCUACGGGAGGCAGCAGUAGGGAAUCUUCCGCAAUGGACGAAAGUCUGACGGAGCAACGCCGCGUGAGUGAUGAAGGCUUUCGGGUCGUAAAACUCUGUUGUUAGGGAAGAACAAGUGCUAGUUGAAUAAGCUGGCACCUUGACGGUACCUAACCAGAAAGCCACGGCUAACUACGUGCCAGCCGCCGCGGUAA
rnacentral:rRNA from 1 species